GUAUAACGGGACGUAGCGUAGAUUGGUUUAUAAGUAUUGUAAUUGACGAGCUUGGAUUAAAUUAUAAUUUCAAGUGGAUACAAAUAUACACAGAGACGACGCAAGUGAUACAAUAUAGCUAAAUUAAUACAACAAGAGAUUAAAGUCAAUGAGAAAAAAUGUUUCAGGUAGAAUUUGCCAAGACGUAGAAUGACAUUAAAUUGUAUCCUAACUUAUAUUUUAAAUAGAAACAACUAUUUACGCUGAUCGCUAUAUAAAUGGAAGAAUCUGCGUCGAAAAAAUCUAGGAGUUGAUGGGUGGAUAACGAGGGUAGGUUAUCAAGCGGCUCCCCAUCCCCAUUGUGCUGGAUUUUUUUGAAAUUUAAUGUUUUCAAAAAUGUUUAUUUUAUAAUUAUUCUCUUAAAAUUUAAGUUAUUUAAUUACUGUCUUAAAUGUUAAGCUAUAUAUAAGUUUAUCGAAUAGUAAACUGUGUCUAGCUGGCAUCUAAUGUUGCGUCAAAAUUAAGAAGUCCACUUUACAAAUAUUUUUGAAUAAAGUUGUUAAUAUCUAUAAUAAUUUAAAGUAGUGUGUCAAAUUACAAGACAUGAUAUGUCUUACUAUAUGAAGAUAAUUAAAAAAUAAUUAGUAAUCAGAGCCCCGAAGAUGAAACCAGAAACAUGCAAGUGUUUCGAAACGUUGGCCAACCAGUCGAGAUAAUCAAAUGGGAAUAAUCGCAAGGUGUGUAAAUAUAAUACCCCAUUCAAUUUUUAAUAAUUUUUUAAAUAAUUAGUGAUUACUUUUAUAAUAUAAUAUGUAGGUCAUAUGCCGAUAAUGAGGAACGUCAGUACUAAAAUUAUAGUUAUUUAUUUUUAUUGCACUUGUUUAAUGCAACUGUUUAUCUUAAAGAUUGCAUUCGUUUUAGAUCGGUUAUAUCAUAAGAACUUAUAAGUAAUUUAUAUAAUAUUCCCGAAUUAUUGUUGCAUUCAUCACGAUUCGUGUAUAAUAGCUUACGACACAAUACCUACAAUUACAUUCAUGGUGAAAAUAUAUUUUACAUAUUGUAUAGUCACAUUUUGUCAUUUUAAAAUAGUUUUAUAUGUUAAAAUCUGUGACAUAAUACAAUUAUGGUAUACAUCAAAAAUUUAAACGCAGCGAGAGUAACUUAAAACUAAAAUACCCCAUCCACACAAGCUCUACUAGUAGGAGGCGCGUUAAAGAUGAAAAUAAUUUCUUUACACCAUACGCUUAUGUAUCCCAUAGGUACGAGGCCCGUAAAUUUGCUCGUACAGAAAAAGUGUUUAAUCAAUAGUUAGUAAUAAUAAUUAAUUGUUAAUAAUUUAUGUCCAUUUACAGUUACCGAAUAUCUGUAUUCUUGAGAAAAAUGUAUU